rnacentral:tRNA from 1 species
UCCCUGGUGUUUUAUUGGCUAAGACUCUGCACUCCCAAUGCAGGAGGCCCAGGUUUGAUCCCUUGUCAGGGAA